rnacentral:rRNA from 1 species
UACAGAGGGUGCAAGCGUUAAUCGGAAUCACUGGGCUUAAAGCGUUCGUAGGCGGACCUGCAGGCGCGUUGUGAAAGCCCCCGGCUCAACCGGGGAACUGCUUCGCGAACCGCAGGUCUUGAGUCAAGUAGGGGCAGCCGGAACGAUAGGUGGAGCGGUGAAAUGCGUAGAUAUCUAUCGGAACGCCGAAGGUGAAGACAGGCUGCUGGGCUUGUACUGACGCUGAGGAACGAAAGCGUGGGGAGCAAACGGG